AUGACACUGCUUUACUUGGAGGAUGCAUUCAGAUUCAUUUUCUGUGUGGCACUAUUCAUUUUGAAAUUCUUAUUUGAUUCCAUAUACACUGACCCCAUCCUUAUACUGCAAGGCACUGUUAAAAUAGCCUGCAUACUCAAUAAAUGGCUUCUGUACAACAGCUUAUUAGAAAAAAAACACCCUGAUUCAACAAACACAAAAUUACAUCUUCAUAAAUGCAAUCAGAAGAAAACAACAGAGGAAACAGAGAAGAAUCACAGGAACUGUACAUGCUGCUCGUUGAAGGUAUUCAGUUGUCCUCCUACUCUUCUGCCGUUAGAUGACACAACGAGAAGGCCUCACCAUAUGCUAGCACCAUGCUCUUGGACUUAUCAGCCUCUAGAACUGGUGACGAUUCAUGGCCAUGUUUAAUCUGUAACAACUUGCAAAUGUCUGUAACGAGAUAUUUCUCUAGACCUCCAGACUUGAAUACUGUACUGCCUGCUUGACACGUAUACCUGGAUGCUUCAUAGGCAUGAGGGCUGACUUCAUGGUAUGUGACGUGUGUGUUCACACAGGAUCUCACAUUGUAGGGAUCCCAUGCCUGGUUUAAUGAUAUGCUAUUGCAGUCUUAAAAUUUGUAAUAAUUUUUUAAUAAGUACUCCGGAUUUUUAUUUUCUACUGACUCGUAUGUAGUCAAUCCUGACUGCUAUCUUUUUGGUUUUGUUAUUUUUUGUUUUGAGAUAGAGCCUCAAUCUGUUAUCCAGGCUGGAGUGCAGUGGCACGAUCUCAGCUCACUGCACCUUCUGCCUCCCAGGUUCAAGCGCUUCUCCUGCCUCAGCCUGCUGAGUAGCUGGGAUUACAUGUGGGCACCAACAUGCCUGGCUAAUUUUUGUAUUUUUAGUAGAGACAGAGUUUUACCAUGUUGAUCAGGCUGGUCUCUAACUUCUGACCUUGUGAUCCACCUACCUUGGCCUCCCAAAAUGCUGAGUUUACAGGCCAAAGCCACCACGCCCAGCCCUGACUGCUAUCUUAAUGGCAACCUCUUCCUUCUUCAGUGUUUCUUAGCUAAUUAAACAGGAAUAAAUCUCUUUAACAUAAAACUGAGGACCA
rnacentral:lncRNA from 13 species